CUUAUUGAUUUCCACCACGGGAACUGCCACGCACUGUGUGAUCUUAGACACGCCGCCCAGCUUCUGAGCUGCAGCCACUUCUCCUGCGAUAUGGAGGGGAGCAGACUCGAUUGCCCGAAUCUUCUAACAGUGUAUGAUUGAUUUCAAUGCUGAUGGUUCAUUGGUCCCUUGGACAGAGGAGGCAUGUUUGGCAAGAAGCAGCCCCAGCCCCAGAGACCUCCACCCAAACCGUCGUGUCCCAGUCUGGGAAGCAGUGGGGGAAGCAUCCUGAGGCUGGACAUGGACCCAGGGCCAGGAAUGAGGACAACAACAAAAAUAUUGAAAUAUGCGAAGAGCUUUUAUAUCUAUUGUCCCAUCAACUAUUCAUUCGUGUAGUCAACAAACACUAUGGAUCCUUCACCAAGAGCCGCUCAUUGCCCUUGUCCCCGUGGUCACGUACAGCAAAUCUCUACACUUACGGGGUCUUCUCUCUUCUCCUUUCUCACCUCUUAUAUACAGACACGCAGAGACACAUUUCAAAGCUCCAAAGAGAAGUGUGCCAAGUAUCCGAAAUGGCUCUCAGAUGAGUAAGGAAGGCAAUCUCUAUCCCAAAUACCGAAUCCCUAACUCUGCAAAGGGAGAAAGAGUGAGCGCAGGGAAUGGAGACUCUUCCCCACCUCCCCACUGACCUCCUUUAUUAUACUCUCAGUAUUUGCUUAUGAUUCCUAUUAAUCACAUGUAAUAACCCUCCCAAUUAUUAAAUUACAGAGACAUGCAUUCCCUCAGCCAAACAGAAUAAUUAUUUACUAAAAUGAAUUAACAUAUAGAAAAGCCUCAGUUCUAUGGAGGUUGAAACUUAGCAUAAUGAAUUUAUCAGGCUUAAAAGAAGCCCAGACAGGCUUUUUUUCGGUGAAAUAAAUACACUGAUUACAGCGAAGCUCA
rnacentral:lncRNA from 1 species